CGUUCGGAUACAUUUCAGGCUACGCUAAAAAAUGCUAAAUCUAAAGGAAUAAAAAAUAUAUCUUAGUCUUUUUGUUGCUUCAGAGCUUUCUGCAUAAAAUGGUUUAUAAUUAAAUGCGUUAAAUUUAUAUUACUAGGAAAUAUUUACAAAUAAAAUAAAAUAGAGAACAGCCGCGAACAUCACUACAGCGUAGCUUUUACGAACAUACAAAAGAAUGUGGUAAUUCUUCAAAAUGGUCGCUUUGUAUGGUUUGCCAACUUGCAUGUCUGUGUUUCAGAGUUCUUUGUUUUCGUAAUUCAUUUGAUAUUAAAACGGUUAUACAAAAGUUCUUUCAAUUUCGGCGUUAUAAGUUUCGAGUGUAAAAGUCAAUAACGAAAAUACCAGCUUGUGGUGUGCGAGAAAGAUGUCAUCGGUAAUGUGAGAGCUCUCGGACAGAAUUUUUAUUUUACGAGAUUAUGACGUUUGUGAUUCUAAUACGGAUUUGCAGAAAGUGAAAAAGUGUCUGUGCUAUAGAAACACAUGUUACACAUUGUGAUGAACGGACAAUGUUGACAUACAUUUGACCAGUGGAUAUAGAAGCGAGACUUGUCGGCAAAA